AGAGUUUGAUCCUGGCUCAGGAUAAACGCUGGCGGCGCACAUAAGACAUGCAAGUCGAACGAACUUAAUUGAGAGCUUGCUCUCAAAGCGGUUAGUGGCGGACUGGUGAGUAACACGUAAGCAACCUGCCUAUUAGAGGGGAAUAACAGCGAGAAAUCGUUGCUAAUACCGCAUAUGCUGUGAGUAUCGCAUGAUACAAGCAGGAAAGGAGCAAUCCGCUAAUAGAUGGGCUUGCGUCUGAUUAGUUAGUUGGUGGGGUAACGGCCUACCAAGACGAUGAUCAGUAGCCGGACUGAGAGGUUGAACGGCCACAUUGGGACUGAGAUACGGCCCAGACUCCUACGGGAGGCAGCAGUCGGGAAUAUUGCGCAAUGGAGGAAACUCUGACGCAGUGACGCCGCGUGCAGGAAGAAGGUUUUCGGAUUGUAAACUGCUUUUAACAGGAAAGAAAAAAAUGACGGUACCUGUUGAAUAAGCUCCGGCUAACUACGUGCCAGCAGCCGCGGUAAUACGUAGGGAGCGAGCGUUAUCCGGAUUUAUUGGGUGUAAAGGGUGCGUAGACGGAAAUGCAAGUUAGUUGUGAAAUACCUCGGCUUAACUGAGGAACUGCAACUAAAACUAUAUUUCUUGAGUAUCGGAGGGGUUUGUGGAAUUCCUAGUGUAGCGGUGAAAUGCGUAGAUAUUAGGAAGAACACCGGUGGCGAAGGCGACAAACUGGACGAUAACUGACGUUGAGGCACGAAAGUGUGGGGAGCAAACAGGAUUAGAUACCCUGGUAGUCCACACCGUAAACGAUGGAUACUAGGUGUUGGCAAUGAAUAAUUGUCGGUGCCGGCGCUAACGCAAUAAGUAUCCCACCUGGGGAGUACGACCGCAAGGUUGAAACUCAAAGGAAUUGACGGGGGCCCGCAC
rnacentral:rRNA from 1 species